rnacentral:lncRNA from 1 species
CCUGAAGAUCAAGAUGAACCAUUGUCUAAACUACCUCAUGAGCAAGUGAUCGAUCAGAUCGAGUUUAAGGAUCCAGAUAAGUCUAAGGAGUUAAUAGAGAUUAACAAACCACCCAAGCCACUUGAAGAAUCCACAUCAGGGAUUAAGCAAUUCGAGACAUCAUCCACCAAUUCUGUAGCUCUUUUUUCAAAUAGACUUAGGUCUAACAAAUACUCAGCCCAUAUGGAUCAAAUCUUAG